rnacentral:lncRNA from 1 species
GAGACCCUGAAAGGAAGCACUAAAAAAAUGAAGACAGAGGAAUACCAGGAGAGAAAGGAGGUCCAGUUAGACCUAAAGGUGAGCAAGAAGAAGAAGAAGAGGGGUUUGGAUGCUUCAUCUCUGCUGAGACCCAGUGCCUUCCACUGAAGGUGCUCAGGAAAUACCUUCUGAAUGAUCAGAAGCCCCUGCUAUCUGCUAAACUGGAUCUAUGAUGACAGAAGCCGAGGAAUGUGAGGUUCAUCUAGAGAGCUCUUGUGAGUUUUCCAAGGGAGGCACCUGUUGAACUCAGGCAUGGGCAUGUGACUUGAUUUGGUCAAUGAAAUGUGAGAGAAGUGACAUCCACUUUGAGGCAGGCACUUUCCAAGUUGCUCUGACAGCCACUCUCCAUACUGCUGCCAGAAGGACCUUCAAAUAUCGCUCUUUUUAAU